CGGACGGGUGAGUAACACGUGGGUAACCUGCCCUGUACAGGGGGAUAACAGUCAGGAAUGACUGCUAAUACCGCAUAAGACCACAGCACCGCAUGGUGCAGGGGUAAAAACUCCGGUGGUACAGGAUGGACCCGCGUCUGAUUAGCUGGUUGGUGAGGUAACGGCUCACCAAGGCGACGAUCAGUAGCCGGCUUGAGAGAGUGAACGGCCACAUUGGGACUGAGACACGGCCCAAACUCCUACGGGAGGCAGCAUG
rnacentral:rRNA from 1 species